rnacentral:rRNA from 1 species
UACGAAGGGGGCUAGCGUUGUUCGGAAUUACUGGGCGUAAAGCGUGCGCAGGCGGUUCUCCAAGUCAGUGGUGAAAGCCCGGAGCUCAACUCCGGAACUGCCAUUGAAACUGUAGAGCUAGAGUACGAGAGAGGUGAGUGGAAUUCCCAGUGUAGAGGUGAAAUUCGUAGAUAUUGGGAAGAACACCGGUGGCGAAGGCGGCUCACUGGCUCGUAACUGACGCUCGAUGCACGACAGCGUGGGGAUCAAACAGGG